rnacentral:pre_miRNA from 2 species
AGUGGAAUUGCUGGGCUAUAUGGUAAUUCUAUUAUUUACUCUUUGGGAAACUGCCAGACUGUUUUCCAUAGCAGUUGUACCAUUUUGCAUUUCCACCAGCAAU